rnacentral:rRNA from 1 species
UGGGGAAUUUUGGACAAUGGGGGAAACCCUGAUCCAGCAACUCUGCGUGGAGGACGAAGUCUCUCGGGAUGUAAACUCCUUUUCCAGGGGACGAAUGGUCGCAAGACCUUGACGGUACUCUGGGAAUAAGCAACGGCUAACUACGUGCCAGCAGCCGCGGUAAGACGUAGGUUGCGAGCGUUAUUCGGAUUCACUAGGCGUAAAGCGUGUGUAGGUGGAUGCCUAAGUCUGACGUGAAAUCUCCCGGCUUAACUGGGAGGGGUCGUUAGAUACUGGGCGUCUUGAGUUGGGUAGGGGGAACCGGAAUUCCAGGUGUAGCGGUGAAAUGCGCAGAUAUCUGGAGGAACACCGGCGGCGAAGGCGGGUUCCUGGGCCUUAACUGACACUGAGACACGAAAGCUAGGGGAGCAAACAGG